CCUACGGGGGGCAGCAGUGGGGAAUAUUGCACAAUGGGGGGAACCCUGAUGCAGCAACGCCGCGUGAGUGAAGAAGGCAUUCGUGUCGUAAAACUCUGUAGUAGGGGAAGAAAGAAAUGACAGUACCCUAAAAGAAAGCCCCGGCUAACUACGUGCCAGCAGCCGCGGUAAUACGUAGGGGGCAAGCGUUAUCCGGAAUAACUGGGCGUAAAGGGUGCGCAGGUGGUUUAACAAGUUAGUGGUGAAAGGCAUAGGCUCAACCAAUGUAAGCCAUUAAAACUGUUUAACUUGAGUGCAGGAGAGGAAAGUGGAAUUCCUAGUGUAGCGGUGAAAUGCGUAGAUAUUAGGAGGAAUACCAGUGGCGAAGGCGACUUUCUGGACUGCAACUGACACUGAGGCACGAAAGCGUGGGGAGCAAACAGGAUUAGAUACCCGGGUAGUC
rnacentral:rRNA from 1 species